rnacentral:rRNA from 1 species
AUGACUCUCGGUAACGGAUAUCUCGACUCUCGCAUCGAUGAAGAACGUAGCGAAAUGCGAUACUUGGUGUGAAUUGUAGAAUCUCGUGAACUAUCGAGUCUUUGAACGCAAGUUGUGCUCUAAGCUGUUAGGCCGAGAGCACGUCUACCUAGGUGUCACGUAUUGUUGCCCCCAUUCGAACCAGAAUCGUAGGGUAUCGGUCGAGGUGUGGGCGUAAAUUGGCCUUCCGUGUGCAAAACACUCACGGUUGGUCAACAAUUGAGCACACGGUGCCGCGACGAUCGGUGGUAAUGCCUUGAGCAGCCUCGUUCUGAGUCGUGCGCGCUCAUCGAUCUGGACUCUGUGAUCCUCUUGGCAUCUCAGUUGCGGUGUUCGCAUCGUGACCUCAGGUCAGGCGGGAGUACCCACUGAAUUUAAGCAUAUCACAAAGCGGAGAAAAAUAAACUUACAAGGAUUCCCUUAGUAAUGGCGAGCGAACCAGGAAGAGCCCAGUUUGAUAAUCGGUCGUCCUCGGCGUCCGAAUUGUAGUCUGGAGAAGCGUCCUCAGCGACGGACCGGGCCCAAGUCCCUUGGAAAGGGCGCCGUAGAGGGUGAGAGCCCCGUCGUGCCCGGGCCCUGUUGUACCACGAGGCACUGUCUACGUGUCGGGUUAUUUGGGAAUGCAGCCCUAAUCGGGCGAUAAAUUCCAUCCAAGGCUAAAUACGGGCGAGAGACCGAUAGUGAACAAGUAUCGUGAGGGAAAUAUGAAAAGGACUUUGAAAAGAUAGUCAAUCAGUGCUUGAAAUUGUCGGGAGGGAAGCAGAUGGGGGUUGGUGAUGCACCCCGUGUGGAUGUGGAACGGCAACAGUCGGUCCGUCGAUCGGCUCGGGGCGUGAACCGAUGCGGAUCGUGGAGGCAGCCCAAGCCCGGGCCUUUAAUACGCCCACGGAGACAUUGUCGCCUAGAUCGUGGAACCCAGCACGCGCCGUCUCGGCGUGCUUCGACAUCGGCGUGCUCAGGGCGUCGACCUGCGGGCUCCCCAUCCGGUCCGUCUUGAAACACAGAACAAGGAGUCUGACAUGUGUACGAGUCAACGGGCAGAAAACUCGUAAGGCGCAAGGAAGCUGAUUGGCGGGAUCCUUCACGGGUGCACUGUCGACUGACCUUGAUCUUCUGAGAAGGGUUCGAGUGAGAGUAUGCCUGUCAAGACCCGAAAGAUGGUGAACUAUGCCUGAGCAGGGUGAAGCUAGAUGAAACUCUGGUGGAGGCCCGCAGCGAUACUGACGUGCAAAUCGUUCAUCUGACUUGGGUAUAGCGACGAAAGAGUAAUCGAACCGUCUAGUAGCUGGUUCCCUCUGAAGUUUCCCUCAGGAUAGCUGGAGCCCUUAGCGAGUUCUAUCGGUAAAGCCAAUGAUUAGAGGCAUCAGGGGCGCAACGCCCUCGACCUAUUCUCAAACUUUAAAUAGGUAGGACGGCGCGACUGCUUCGUUUAUUCGUGCCACGGAAUCGAGAGCUCCAAGUGGGCCAUUUUUGGUAAGCAAAACUAGCGAUGCGGGAUGAACCAGAAGCCGGGUUAUGAUGCCCAAGUACGCGGUAUCCUAGAACCCACAAAGGGUAUUGGUCGAUUAAGACAUCAGGACGGUGGUAAUAGAAGUUGAAAUCCGCUAAGGAGUGUGUAACAACUCACUUGUCGAAUCAAGUAGCCCCAAACAUGGAUGGCACUUAAGCACGUGACCUAUACCCAGCCGUCGAGGUAAGGGCCGGGCCCCGAUGAGUAGGAGGGCGUGGGGGUCACCGUAAAACCCGGGGCGUGAUCCCGGGCGGAGCGGCCGUCGGUGCAGAUCUUGGUGGUAGUAGCAAAUAAUUAUAUGAGAACUUUGAAGGUCGAAGAGGGGAAAGGUUCUAAGUGAACGGAACUUGUACAUGGGUAAGUCGAUCCUAAGAGACGGGGGAAGCCCGUCCGAUAGCUCGUUCGCACGAGCUUCGAAAGGGAAUCGGGUAAAAAUUCCUGAACCGGGACGUGACGGCUGACGGAAACGUUAGGGAGUCCGGAGACGUCGGCGGCGGCCUCGGGAAGAGUUAUCUUUUCUAUUUAACGGCCCGCCCACCCUGGAAAUGGCUCAGCCGGAGGUAGGGUCCAGUGGCCGGAAGAGCACCGCACGUCACGUGGUGUCCGGUGCGCCUCCGAAGGCCCUUGAAAAUUCGAAAGACCGAGUGUCAUCCGCGCCCUGUCGUACUCAUAACAACAUCAGGUCUCCAAGGUGAACAGCCUCGGGAAAAUGAUUGGCUCUAAGGGCUGGGCACAGGGGUCCCAGUCCCGAACCCGUCGGCUGCCGGUGCACUUGCUCGAGUUGUUUCUGCGACGAGAGCGGGUCGCCAUGUGCCAGCCUGGGGACGGACUAGAACGGCUCCUUCGGGGGCCUUCCCCGUGUGACGAACAGUCGACUCAGAACUGGUACGGAUAAGGGGAAUCUGAUUGUUUAAUUAAAACAAAGCAUUGCGAUGGUCCCUGCGGAUGCUC